UACGGAGGGGGCUAGCGUUGUUCGGAAUUACUGGGCGUAAAGCGCGCGUAGGCGGACCUGCAAGUCGGGGGGUGAAAGCCCGAGGCUCAACCUCGGAACUGCCUUCGAUACUGCGGGUCUCGAGUCCGGGAGAGGUGAGUGGAAUUCCUAGUGUAGAGGUGAAAUUCGUAGAUAUUAGGAAGAACACCAGUGGCGAAGGCGGCUCACUGGCCCGGUACUGACGCGUGAGGCGC
rnacentral:rRNA from 1 species